CCUACGGGAGGCAGCAGUGGGGAAUUUUCCGCAAUGGGCGAAAGCCUGACGGAGCAACGCCGCGUGAGGGACGAAGGCCUCUGGGCUGUAAACCUCUUUUCUCAAGGAAGAAGAUAUGACGGUACUUGAGGAAUAAGCCACGGCUAAUUCCGUGCCAGCAGCCGCGGUAAUACGGGAGUGGCAAGCGUUAUCCGGAAUUAUUGGGCGUAAAGCGUCCGCAGGCGGCUUUUCAAGUCUGCUGUUAAAGCGUGGAGCUUAACUCCAUCAUGGCAGUGGAAACUGUUGGGCUUGAGUGUGGUAGGGGCAGAGGGAAUUCCCGGUGUAGCGGUGAAAUGCGUAGAUAUCGGGAAGAACACCAGUGGCGAAGGCGCUCUGCUGGGCCAUCACUGACGCUCAUGGACGAAAGCCAGGGGAGCGAAAGGGAUUAGAUACCCCUGUAGUCCUGGCCGUAAACGAUGAACACUAGGUGUCGGGGGAAUCGACCCCCUCGGUGUCGUAGCCAACGCGUUAAGCGUUCCGCCUGGGGAGUACGCACGCAAGUGUGAAACUCAAAGGAAUUGACGG
rnacentral:rRNA from 1 species